rnacentral:ncRNA from 1 species
GCAGAUGGUGCCUCCUGACCGGAGGCUAAGAGGGAACCCGGUGUGAGUCCGGGGCUGUGCCCGCAACUGUCAGCCGGGAGCCAAAGGCCGGAAAACCACUGGACGUUUGAUCCGGGAAGGUGGCCAGAGGCAGCGAUCGGUGAGCCAGGAAACCUGCCAUCGC